rnacentral:rRNA from 1 species
UACGAAGGGGGCUAGCGUUGCUCGGAAUCACUGGGCGUAAAGGGUGCGUAGGCGGGUCUUUAAGUCAGGGGUGAAAUCCUGGAGCUCAACUCCAGAACUGCCUUUGAUACUGAAGAUCUUGAGUUCGGGAGAGGUGAGUGGAACUGCGAGUGUAGAGGUGAAAUUCGUAGAUAUUCGCAAAAACACCAGUGGCGAAGGCGGCUCACUGGCCCGAUACUGACGCUGAUGCACGAAAGCGUGGGGAGCAAACAGG